ACGAACGCUGGCGGCGUGCCUAAUACAUGCAAGUCGAACGGCUUUUCUAUGGAAGCUUGCUUCCACUGAGAAGAUAGUGGCGAACGGGUGAGUAACACGUGGGUAACCUGCCCAUAAGAGGGGGAUAACAUCCGGAAACGGGUGCUAAUACCGCAUAGUUUUCUUGAUCGCAUGAUUGAGAAAGGAAAGACGGCCUUUGUGCUGUCGCUUAUGGAUGGACCCGCGGCGUAUUAGUUAGUUGGUGAGGUAACGGCUCACCAAGACGAUGAUACGUAGCCGACCUGAGAGGGUGAUCGGCCACAUUGGGACUGAGACACGGCCCAAACUCCUACGGGAGGCAGCAGUAGGGAAUCUUCCGCAAUGGACGAAAGUCUGACGGAGCAACGCCGCGUGAGUGAAGAAAGGUUUUCGGAUCGUAAAACUCUGUUGUCAGAGAAGAACAAGUUGGAGAGUAACUGCUCCAGCCUUGACGGUAUCUGACCAGAAAGCCGCGGCUAACUACGUGCCAGCAGCGGC
rnacentral:rRNA from 1 species